UCCCUGGAGCUGUUUCCUGCAGCUCUCCCUGCCUUGCUGCUCUCUCAACCCCACUGGGAUCUGACCAGCCUGGACCCCUCUCAUCCCUACUGCCCCCUGAAGGGAAUGAACACCCCACAGGGGGGAUGCCACGCCCUUCUCCAGGCUCCACAGGGCCACCCAAGCAACCAGGCAACAUGGCAUCCUGACAGAAAAAAAUCAAUCUUUAUUUAUUCUUGACCAGCAGAAGUUCACACAUUGUGAGCCGUUUUGGAACAGGGAUAGUUUCCACUGGGAACACUGAGGUUCCCAACGCUGUAGGAAUGGCCUGGAGUCUACAGGAAUCGGUAUCCAUCUACAGAAGUACGUCACUCUCCCACAGCCAUGACCUCUUCAUUGAAAGAUAAUGCCAACUGUUUUUCAAGCCAGGACUGAAUCGGUGAACGUUGUCUUUCUCAUUCUCUUUUCCAAUUCAUGUUUCUGAGAUGUUGUCAUAAAACUAGUGGGGGGGGGGCAGCGUGAGAAUUCUGCCUCCUGUAUGCAAAUUGAAAACUGUAUGACUCUUUUUGCCUUAUCCAGUAAUAUAUAGGAAGGAUGCUCCAAAACAAACACUUCUCUCAUCUAGAUCAAGGGGGAUGACAAAACUUCCCAUGACAUCAUUGUUAUCCAUUCUUGUGACCUUUUGUUGCCAGAUCCGGCACACCUUAAUAUUUUCCAUCAGUCAGUCCAAGGGCCUGAUCCUGAAAAUGAAGUGAUGCUUGAAGGAAAUAUUUGUGCAUAGACAUUGAGUAAGCCUUAUUUUUGAAGUAGGUUUUACAGAUGAAGGUGUCCAAUUUAGUUUUCUUUUUAACCAAUUAACCAUCCAGUUAUCCAACAGAAAGAAUUUAAUAAUUGUACUGACAAGAAAUGUUCUUUUAUAUUAUUAAUUUCAAUUGAACUUGAAAGAAAUGUGCAUUGUUAUGAGUUUUGUA